GCAAUUUCUUCCUUUUUCGUUUCUUUCUUUUUUUAUAAAUGCACGUUCUUGGGCCUGACGUUAUAUAGUACAUUGCUGAAAAGAUUAAACACUGCAUGUGUAAGGAUCGAUGAUAUUGCGUUUUUGCCAUUAUUAAACAAUUUGAUUUCAUCUGUGUCAUAAUACUGGCAUAACUUACAUCAGGAGUCUUGUUGUGGAGUCUCACUUGUACGAUAUUGUUUUUCUUCUUUUUUUCUAUUAUUUUUU
rnacentral:lncRNA from 1 species